rnacentral:rRNA from 1 species
UCCAUUUCCAUUGAAGUUGGGGGGAAACAGUUGGAACGACUGCUAAUACCGCAUAAUGUCUACGGACCAAAGGGGGCUUCGGCUCUCGCCUUUAGAUUGGCCCAAGUGGGAUUAGCUAGUUGGUGAGGUAAUGGCUCACCAAGGCGACGAUCCCUAGCUGGUUUGAGAGGAUGAUCAGCCACACUGGGACUGAGACACGGCCCAGACUCCUACGGGAGGCAGCAGUGGGGAAUAUUGCACAAUGGGCGCAAGCCUGAUGCAGCCAUGCCGCGUGUGUGAAGAAGGCCUUCGGGUUGUAAAGCACUUUCAGUCAGGAGGAAAGGUUAGUAGUUAAUACCUGCUAGCUGUGACGUUACUGACAGAAGAAGCACCGGCUAACUCCGUGCCAGCAGCCGCGGUAAUACGGAGGGUGCGAGCGUUAAUCGGAAUUACUGGGCGUAAAGCGUACGCAGGCGGUUUGUUAAGCGAGAUGUGAAAGCCCCGGGCUCAACCUGGGAACUGCAUUUCGAACUGGCAAACUAGAGUGUGAUAGAGGGUGGUAGAAUUUCAGGUGUAGCGGUGAAAUGCGUAGAGAUCUGAAGGAAUACCGAUGGCGAAGGCAGCCACCUGGGUCAACACUGACGCUCAUGUACGAAAGCGUGGGGAGCAAACGGGAUUAGAUACCCCGGUAGUCCACGCCGUAAACGAUGUCUACUAGAAAGCUCGGAGCCUCGGGUUCUGUUUUUUCAAAGCUAACGCAUUAAGUAGACCGCCCUGGGGGAGUACGGCCGCAAGGGUUAAAACUCAAUGAAUUUGACAGGGGCCCCGCACCAAGCGGGUGGAAGCAUGGUGUUUAAUUCGGAUUGCAACGGCGAAGGAUCUUUACCCUGGUUCUUGAACAUAUCUAAGAAUCCCUGCCAGAGU